rnacentral:rRNA from 1 species
GAUGAACGCUAGCUACAGGCUUAACACAUGCAAGUCGAGGGGUAACGAGAGGAAAGCUUGCUUUCCUUGUUGACGACCGGCGCACGGGUGAGUAACGCGUAUCCAACCUGCCCCCAACUAGGGAAUAACCCUGCGAAAGUAAGACUAAUACCCUAUAAUUUCCUCAGAUGUCAUCUGACGAGGAAUAAAGAUUUAUCGGUUGUGGAUGGGGAUGCGUCUGAUUAGCUUGUUGGCGGGGUAACGGCCCACCAAGGCAACGAUCAGUAGGGGUUCGAAGAGGAAGGUACCCCACAUUGGAACGGGGCCACUGUCCAAACGCCUACGGGAGGCAGCAGUGAGGAAUAUUGGUCAAUGGGCGGAAGCCUGAACCAGACAAGUAGCGUGCAGGAUGACGGCCCUAUGGGUUGUAAACUGCUUUUAUACAGGAAUAAAGUUAGCCACGUGUGGUUAUUUGUAGGUACUGUAUGAAUAAGGACCGGCUAAUUCCGUGCCAGCCGCCGCGGUAA